UCAACCUGCAAAAUAGGAUUGAGACUCAUUACAAAUCUUUAACCCUUUCUAUAAAUAUGAGCAAUUCAGUUACUGUUGCUUAGGAACAGUACUCGGGUUACUAUUGCUUAGGAACAGGGCAUUUCCCUUUGUGCCCUUAAAUUUUUUUUUUUGUUUUCCUGAUUUUCCUCUGAUCCUCUUAUUUUGUCGUUUGAGAACACAAGGCUGCUUUCCCCCUUUUCCUUUGAAGCAUACUCUCAGUUAGCCUCCUCCAUUGAAGCGUUCCUCUGAGUUCUCCUUUGAAGUGGUUUCUGAUAUGUCUAUCUAUUUUUUCGUCGACACCGCUACUGAGCUGAUAUUUCCGGCAGAUGCGUGUGGAAGUCUGGCGAAAGAGCAGCAAGCAACAGGAUUUGCAAUUCUGCUUCAAAUUAUGAUGCUGCUUCUUGCUUAUGUACUUGGUCAUGUUUUGCGCGGCUGAUGCGUGUGGAAGUCUGGCGAAAGAGCAGCAAGCAACAGGAGUUGCAAUUCUGCUUCAAAUUAUGAUGCUGCUUCUUGCUUAUGUACUUGGUCAUGUUUUGCGUCGCCAUAAAUUUUAUUAUCUUCCUUAAGCUAGCGCUUCUCUUUUGAUUGGGUUUGUGAAGUGUGAGAAGCUAAUCUAUUGACUGUAUUGAGGAUAAAGAAGCUGAUUGUGUGAUAAAGAAUGGGACUUCUGAAUAGAUGGUGAAGAUAGUAGAAACACUCAAUGCAGUUCAUGAAGCAGCUCAAAUAAAAGUAAUACACAUUAUUCAAAAGAGUAUCAGAGAACUUAAACUACUUGAUUUAAUUGCAUAUAGUGCAUAUAAGAUGUAAGCAUUAAAUAUCUCGCAGGACUCUGCUAAAACUAUUGAUCAUGUCUCACAAGGUAGCUUCUUGGACAUGUUCCAAAUGAAGCAUGCUUUUGGACUUACAAUAAGUCUUGUGUUCAUGGAACGAGCAUCAUGUGGUGGAACAAAUGGUAUUUUGCUUUAUGCAGCUACAACUUUAUAAAUGUGGAAGACUAUCAAUUUUACUGGUGAGUAUCCUAUGUGAUGUAACAUAUAUCCUGUGCUUUUAUACUACGUAUAUGAUUUUCUGUAUUAUUUGGCGAUUCAAGGUUAUUUGUCGCAAAAUCUGGAUGUCCUUUGUGUCCUAUGUUUUUGUGCAAAUAUGAGAAUUUACUCAACUUUUGAAUUAUUUUCCAUAAUUCGUCAUGAAUUUUACAAAGUAAAAUAGCUAUGAUGGAAGAAUUGAAACAAGAACGUUUACAUAAUUACAGUAUGCAUGAAGAAGGCUUCAACAAUAAUUUAAGAUGUUCAUGGUGAGUUUGAAGCUAUCUUAUGCGAAGUACUUCAAUAUCCAUUCACGUUAAUGGCACUGACACUUUUAUCUUUUAUGCUUUUGCUACUUUUGUUUCUGUUGUUGAGGAAUUGUUGAUUGGGAUGAGAUGUUUCUUAUGGACUAUACAAAUGUGAUGUCAUCUUGUUGUAGUAUUAUAGUUGAACAUGUACCAAUGUCAUACUCAAAUUUCUCUUGUUUCUUGCAAGUAUAUGACAAUGAAACUAAUGUUUUUUCAGGCUGAA